UAAACAACAUGUUCUGUCUGCAAGGCCUGUCCAGCUGGGAUAAACUAGUCAAGGACAUGCUUAGCUCUACCUGCCCUGCUCAUUAAGUCUCUUUUCCUGCCUCAUAAUAAGCAAUUCUGCUCAGUUACUUCUGCCUGACAGUGCAUGAUUUAAUUCAUGUAACCAGGUAUACAAUAACCUGCCAGCAGCUUUUAUAUUUUCUGCUUACAAAAUAUGUGUAAGUUUCUAUUUCAUUCUCAGGAGGGGCUGGUGAUUUGAAACCAAUUCCUACCAGCCCACUUCUGUAAUUAAUCUCUGACUUCCACACUCCUCGGUGUGAACCGUUUGGCUCAGUACCGGCUUUCUGCAGGGAAGUGACCAAGUGGAAGCAUGUGACUGGAGCCCAAGUCCUGCAGCUCACUCUGGAGGACGCAGUCUCUGACCACCACCCCAGGAGUGCCAAACUUUGAGGCCCUGAAGGACCAGGCACUUUUCUCCUGAAGCCUCAACAGGACCUCAGACAUGCCUGCUUCUAUAAUUGGCAGCCAUGGCAGGAAGAGACUCCCUCUACCACUGCUAACCAGCUUCCGCCCCACUGAAUCAUCAGAGCAAAAACUGCAGCUGGACAGAGCAAAGGCAUCAGAACCAAGAGAACACAAUCCGCUGCUGUCCUGAAGAGAACAGAAGUCUGACUUUCUCCAGUGAGGGGGAGUCACUGCCUUGACUGGGGUCUAAGUCUUCUCUCACCUUCUGACUUGAACUGCAACACUGGCUUUGCUGAGUCUUGAGUCUACAGCCUUUCAAAUAAAACUUAUACCGUCAGCUCUCCUAGGUCUCCCAUUUAUUGACCACAGACCUGUGACUUAUCAACCUCCAAAUCUUGUAAGCCAAUUCCUUACAAUAAACCUCUUGUUUUUCCUC